rnacentral:lncRNA from 10 species
CGCACGCUCAGGGUGUGGGCCUCUGCCGGCUACUUUCCAAGAAGCAAUGAGACCUGCUUGGAAUUCUUAGUGGGAUUAUCUGGAAGUUGCUGGCAGAGGGGGUUGGGUGCUGGAGGAAGGAACAGGCAGAGAGAUCACGUGUCUCAGGGAGACAGCAUUGCAUGGCGCUGACGUUGCCGCCAGGCUGUGCGGAGUCGAAUUCUUCACCACAUGCUGGCUGUGUGGGCUUAAACUCUUCGUGUCUCAGUUCCUUGACAGUAAAGGAGUGGAAUUGAGCAGUGUGAAAAUGAACCAAUACAAGUCCCGGCCAUCAUCUGAUCUAUUCUGAGGGAUCGGGGUUACCUGAGGGAUUGGGAGAUUCCUGAUGCUUUCACCAAGAGAGACCAGUGACCUAUUGAAGUGGUGCCUCUGGCUCAGUCGGCCUCAGUCUUCCGCUGGGACUCAGACCUGCUCCGGAAGUAAAAAAUGUUCCUGAUAUGUCAUCAACUCUGUCCUCUUUGUGCUUAAUUUGCAUUGACAACUGAAAAGUUAAGCAGAUGCAUCAUUGGGCCUCCUUGUUCAUUUUUUGCACUUCACUGUAAAAAACAAGAAAUGAUUAUAGAAAAAUGUAUAUAUCUGCUGGAAAACUCCUUUCUCCCCUCU